AAGUCGUAACAAGGUAACCGUAGGUGAACCUGCGGUUGGAUCAUUACCAAAUCCAAGGGUCGUGCGUCACUGCUGCGGCUGGCGCGUUGCGCCCGAGAGCGUUGUCUCUCGCGCGCGUCGUGUCUGGCUGUGGUGGCGGUCGGCGCGACCCUGACACCCACCUCAUGUGCAAUGUAACGUCGUUGGCGGGAGCGCUCUCACACCUAGCUGUGUGGGAGUUGCCUUGCGCCGGAACCGUGCACCCGCACUGGCCUCGCGCCGGUGUCGGACCACGCCCGGCGACCGCCAACACCCUUUCUAAUCCACACUACAUAAACCACUACCCCAACCCACUGACGCCAACCUGCGUGUCGGGUGCGAAAGCACCUGUGCGCAAUAAUAACGAAAAAACAACUUUUGACAACGGAUCUCUUGGCUCUC
rnacentral:misc_RNA from 1 species